GGACUACCGGGGUAUCUAAUCCUGUUCGUUACCCAAGCCUUCGUCCCUCAACGUCAGUUAAUAGAUAAAAGGUCGCCUUCGCCAUUAUAAGUCGUUAUGGUAUCAAAAAAUUUCAUCUCUACUCCAUAAAUACUCCCCUUUUCAUAUAAAACCCUAGCAAUAUUGUACCCUAAUUUGGGCUAAUAAUGCCGUCUAGGUACCCUUUAAACCUAAUAAAGAUGAAUAACACUAGUCUUCUACGUAUUACCGCGGCUGCUGGCAC
rnacentral:rRNA from 1 species